GGGCGCGUAGCUCAGUGGGAGAGCGCUGCCUUCACACGGCAGAGGUCGCAGGUUCAAAACCUGCCGCGCCCA
rnacentral:tRNA from 1 species